GAUGAAGAACGCAGCGAAAUGCGAUACGUAAUGUGAAUUGCAGAAUUCAGUGAAUCAUCGAAUCUUUGAACGCAUAUUGCGCUCUUUGGUAUUCCGAAGAGCAUGCUUGUUUGAGUAUCAGUAAACACCUCAACCUCUUCUUGGUUUUUCAAAAGGAGGGUGGACUUGAGCUAUCCCAACAACCUUUACCGGUCGGCGGGCGGCUUGAAAUGCAGGUGCAGCUGGACUUUUAUCUGAGCUAAAAGCAUAUCUAUUUAGUCCUCGUCAAACAGGAUUAUUACUUUUGCUGCAGCUAACAUAAAGGAUAAUUGUCCUCUUUGCUGACUGAUGCAGGAUUUUACGACACUUUAUGUGUUGUUCAACUCGAUCUCAAAUCAAGUAAGACUACCCGCUGAACUUAAGCAUAUCAAUAAGCGGAGGA
rnacentral:misc_RNA from 1 species